UGGGGAAUAUUGGACAAUGGGCGCAAGCCUGAUCCAGCCAUGCCGCGUGAGUGAUGAAGGUCUUAGGAUUGUAAAGCUCUUUCACCGGAGAAGAUAAUGACGGUAUCCGGAGAAGAAGCCCCGGCUAACUUCGUGCCAGCAGCCGCGGUAAUACGAGGGGGCUAGCGUUGUUCGGAAUUACUGGGCGUAAAGCGCACGUAGGCGGAUAUUUAAGUCAGGGGUGAAAUCCCAGAGCUCAACUCUGGAACUGCCUUUGAUACUGGGUAUCUAGAGUAUGGAAGAGGUGAGUGGAAUUCCGAGUGUAGAGGUGAAAUUCGUAGAUAUUCGGAGGAACACCAGUGGCGAAGGCGGCUCACUGGUCCAUUACUGACGCUGAGGUGCGAAAGCGUGGGGAGCAAACA
rnacentral:rRNA from 1 species